GAUGAACGCUAGCGGCAGGCUUAACACAUGCAAGUCGAGGGGUAGAGGAAGCUUGCUUCCUUGAGACCGGCGCACGGUGCGUAACGCGUAUGCAAUCUACCUUAUACAGGGGGAUAGCCCAGAGAAAUUUGGAUUAAUACCCCAUAGUAUAAUUGAAUGGCAUCAUUUAAUUAUUAAAGUUCCAACGGUAUAAGAUGAGCAUGCGUCCAUUAGCUAGUUGGUGUGGUAACGGCACACCAAGGCGACGAUGGGUAGGGGUCCUGAGAGGGAGAUCCCCCACACUGGUACUGAGACACGGACCAGACUCCUACGGGAGGCAGCAGUGAGGAAUAUUGGUCAAUGGGCGCAAGCCUGAACCAGCCAUGCCGCGUGCAGGAUGACGGUCCUAUGGAUUGUAAACUGCUUUGUACAGGAAGAAACACUCCCUCGUGAGGGAGCUUGACGGUACUGUAAGAAUAAGGAUCGGCUAACUCCGUGCCAGCAGCCGCGGUAAU
rnacentral:rRNA from 1 species